AGGAACCCAACCCCAAAAUUCAAAUCCCAAAAGUUGUUUGAAGGGCUUUAUAGCUUUACGGUGCAAACUGCAACUUUCAAAAGUGUCAUGUGUUGCACAUUACAAUGUACAUAGCCAGGUUUUCAUUUCUAAAUUCCCACGAAUGGCAUUCAAAACCUUUCUUUUUCAUUGUCUGAAAAGUUACUAAGUAAUUUGUAAAGUUGGUAACGGGUACCCAUCCCAUUAUCUGGAACCGGUUCCUGACAUCACUGGUCGGGUACCCGGGUACAUGGGUACAUCAGGUACCCGGGCACAUGGGUACAUCAGGUACCCGGGCACAUGGGUACAUCAGGUACCCGGGUACUUGGGUACAUCAGGUACCCGGGUACUUGGGUACAUCAGGUACCCGGGUACUUGGGUACAUCAGGUACUUGGGUACAUCAGGUACUUGGGUACAUCAGGUACCCGGGUACUUGGGUACAUCAGGUACCCGGGUACUUGGGUACAUCAGGUACUUGGGUACAUCAGGUACUUGGGCACAUCAGGUACCCGGGUACUUGGGUACAUCAGGUACCCGGGUACUUGGGUACAUCAGGUUCCCGGGUACUUGGGUACAUCAGGUACCCGGGUACUUGGGUACAUCAGGUACCCGGGUACUUGGGUACAUCAGGUACCCGGGUACUUGGGCACAUCAGGUACCCGGGUACUUGGGUACAUCAGGUACCCGGGUACUUGGGUACUAGGGUGCCCGGGUAUCGGGUUCAGAUGCGCACCCCCUAAUGACAUAUAAAUUUACACUAAUCCUGUUUGUAAAAACAAGGUGAGGGUUUCCUUUUCCCCAAAACAGACAAGUUCUGUAAAUACUGUGAAUUGCAGUUGUUUUGAACAUUUACACUGUUUAUUAACUGUGGCCUGUCCACCUAUAGUUUAAGCAUGUUGUACAGAGGUCCAGAAUAUUUUCAAGUUUCCCUAAAUUUUAAAGGCUUUUCUCAAGUAUUGAGAUAAAUUAUGUUUUUUUUAUUGGCAGAACAUUUGUUCAUAGUACUCUGAAAUGUUGGCUGGCAAAUGUACGACUCCCGGUAACCUUUGACCUUUGUUGUUGCCAUGACCACACUGAAUUGGGUCAGAGGUCAACUGACUGUCCAAAACUAAAAUGGAAACUGAUUAUUAGGUCUUGAUAUCUCGUAAAAAAAACAACCUUCCCUGCAAUUUCUAUGUGUUUAAAUAAACUGUAUUGUUUUUGUCCAUAACUGUAAGUUAGUAUGUUUAGAAUCAUGCGUAUCUACAAUAUGCUAUAACCAUUGUUGAUUAAUCACAGAUUAUAUUUGUAUAAAGUAAAACGGAGCAAUGAUUUAUUAAAAUCAAAAUAAGAAAUUUAUUGAAACGUUAUACAUAGUGUCAAUGUAUACAUGUGCUUUAAAUGCUGAUAUUAAUUUUCGAGUUUUACUCCCCGUAGUUUCAGUAAAUAAACUUAGUUGCUUGUGUAUUCAGCAUGUAGCAUAAUUCGUACGGAAAGAAAAAAAAAGAAAAAGAAAAAAAAACACCCCAACAAAAUGAAUUCCUCAGAUGAUGUCUAUAUGAUGUAGCAUUGGGAGUUCGUCUGGACAUUCCUAGUUAGUAAUUUUGUUUGUCACCAUGGUUACCGUUAUGGUUUACUGAUGAACUUUCUGAUAUUUUGACUUUAUUCCUAGGUUUGAAAUGGAACUUGUCUUUCAUAUCCAAUACUGAAAAGAUAUGGUCUUUGUUGAAUAUUUUCUCCUUUUUUCGUCUCUUUUUAUUGUGAGAACUUGUUGGAUUUUGGUAGGCCCCUAAGAGGUAAUUGUCUCGGAGCCUGGAAAUGUCUUCAAACUUGUCACAAUUUUGAUGCUUCCUGAUAAGAGCACGUUCUCAAAUGGUUGGUUAUAAAUAUUAUCUUAUUCAAUUCUUAUUCAAAAUAGAACACCAUUUUUUUCGAUAUGUGGAUAUACAUUGUAAACUAUUUUAUUUGGAUUUGAUGUAAUGGUUACAAAACUUUACCCUUUCGUAACAUCUCUCUGGGGUAUGGUUCCAGAAUUUAAAAAAAAAAGUUAUUGAGCUGCGUUUUCAUUGCAGGAAUGAGUAAUAUUCAUUAUUUGGAACUGGUUUGAAAUUUCUGGAGAGGUUUUUGGUUUGAAAAAAAUAAGUUCGCUUCAAGUAAAUCUUGGGACUAGAAUGAUUUUCGGGCUUUUUUCUUUUCUAGCCCCUAAAUAAAACGGUGCCAGGAUUUUCAAAGUUUUACUCUGUCAUAUUAAAGUUGGGCAAAAGCAAAGGCGCUUUUUUGUCUGCGUUAGCCAAGUUGGAAUAGUGAAACCUGCUAACCCAAGUGGUGUUUUUCACCGUCACACUUUGAAAGGCAACACCCGAAUUCUACCAGAAAAGCUCUUUAAUAGGAUUAUUCUGAUAUUAAAGAAGCAACAGAAGAUGUAAUUAUAAAAUGUUACUGGAUACAAAAGUGUACUGCACGGAAAAAUUUAAAAUUUGCCCCAACAAUUUGCCUAUUCAUGAAGUUAAAUGAAUUAUACAUAAAUAGUAAUUAUAAGUUCCCUUUAUUGUGUAGUUUUAAACCGAAGUCACAUGAAGCCAACGUAAUUGCUAUGGCAACGGUUGCAAGAGACUGAUCACGUGACUGGUCACAUACUUGUCACAUGACUUGUCACAUGACUUGUCACAUGAUUUGUCACAUGAUUUGUCACAUGACAGGCUUUAUAGACUUGUAUUUAAUGUAGAAACACGUUUUCUGUAACCUUUUGUACUAAAAUAUAUAUCAGCCCUAAAUACGUUGGAAUUGCACUAAAUUACGCACAUCGUUGACGAAGUGUGCUGAGGCAUUACGGUAAGGAAUCACUUAAUGUGUAUUAUAACAGAUAUUCGUCCUGUGGGUUUUUGGGGCAUUUAUGUAUUUCGAACCAUUGGUUCAAAAGGGGCCGAAAAUAGUUCACCUUAUUUCUCUUUGUUGGAACAAUAAUAAUGGGCGCUGAAAAUGUGUGAGCUGUUGAAUAAAAAUGUUUAUUAGACCAAGACA